GUGCCGGCCGCCGCGGUAAUAUGGAGGGUGCAAACGUUAAUCGGAAUUACUGGGCGUAAAGCGUAUGCAGGCGGUUUGUUAAGUCAGAUGUGAAAUCCCCGGGCUUAACCUCGGAACUGCAUUUGAAACUGGCAGGCUAGAGUCUCGUAGAGGGGGGUAGAAUUCCAGGUGUAGCGGUGAAAUGCGUAGAGAUCUGGAGGAAUACCGGUGGCGAAGGCGGCCCCCUGGACGAAAACUGACGCUCAGGUACGAAAGCGUGGGGAGCAAACAGGAUUAGAUACCCUAGUAGUCC
rnacentral:rRNA from 1 species